CGACGGCAGGGAGCAUCGUGUCGGCGUGCGCGGCGGCCAUGGGCCUCGUCGCCCUCCUCGCCUAGACGCCCGGUCCGGGCCUCACCGAGAAGCGCGAUUAUUUUACGUGGCCGCUGCGCCGCGACUUUCGGACGAGCUGUGGUCUGU